UACGUAGGGGGCAAGCGUUGUCCGGAUUUAUUGGGCGUAAAGAGCGUGUAGGCGGCCAGGUAGGUCAGCUGUGAAAACUCGAGGCUCAACCUCGAGACGUCGGUUGAAACCACUUGGCUAGAGUCCGGAAGAGGAGAGUGGAAUUCCUGGUGUAGCGGUGAAAUGCGCAGAUAUCAGGAAGAACACCCGUGGCGAAGGCGGUCUGCUGGGCCAAGACUGACGCUGAGGCGCGACAGCGUGGGGAGCAAACAGG
rnacentral:rRNA from 1 species